GGAGAGUGGAAUUCCAUGUGUAGCGGUGAAAUGCGUAGAUAUAUGGAGGAACACCAGUGGCGAAGGCGACUCUCUGGUCUGUAACUGACGCUGAGGCUCGAAAGCGUGGGUAGCAAACAGGAUUAGAUACCCUGGUAGUCCACGCCGUAAACGAUGAGCACUAGGUGUUGGGCCCGUUAGGGCUCAGUGCCGCAGUUAACGCAAUAAGUGCUCCGCCUGGGGAGUACGCUCGCAAGAGUAAAACUCAAAGGAAUUGACGGGGACCCGCACAAGCAGCGGAGCAUGUGGUUUAAUUCGAAGCAACGCGAAGAACCUUACCAGGGCUUGACAUCCUGCUGACAGGACCUUAACCGGUCCCUUCUUCGGACAGCAGAGACAGGUGGUGCAUGGUUGUCGUCAGCUCGUGUCGUGAGAUGUUGGGUUAAGUCCCGCAACGAGCGCAACCCUUGUCGCUAGUUACUAACAUUCAGUUGAGGACUCUAGCGAGACUGCCGAGGUCAACUCGGAGGAAGGUGGGGAUGACGUCAAAUCAUCAUGCCCCUUAUGUUCUGGGCUACACACGUGCUACAAUGGUCGGUACAAUGAGAGGCAAUACUGUGAAGUGGAGCAAAUCACCAAAACCGAUCCCAGUUCGGAUUGUAGGCUGCAACUCGCCUACAUGAAGUUGGAGUUGCUAGUAAUCGCAGAUCAGAAUGCUGCGGUGAAUGCGUUCCCGGGUCUUGUACACACCGCCCGUCACACCAUGGAAGUUGGGGGUGCCCGAAGUCGGUUAGUUAAUCUAUCGCCUAAGGCAAAACCAAUGACUGGGGUGAAGUCGUAACAAGGUAGCCGUAUCGGAAGGUGCGGCUGGAUCA
rnacentral:rRNA from 1 species